GACGAACGCUGGCGGCGUGCUUAACACAUGCAAGUCGAACGGAAAGGCCCUGCUUUUGUGGGGUGCUCGAGUGGCGAACGGGUGAGUAACACGUGAGUAACCUGCCCUUGAUUUUGGGAUAACUUCAGGAAACUGGGGCUAAUACCGGAUAGGAGCUCCUGCUGCAUGGUGGGGGUUGGAUAGUUUCGGCGGUUGGGGAUGGACUCGCGGCUUAUCAGCUUGUUGGUGGGGUAGUGGCUUACCAAGGCUUUGACGGGUAGCCGGCCUGAGAGGGUGACCGGCCACAUUGGGACUGAGAUACGGCCCAGACUCCUACGGGAGGCAGCAGUGGGGAAUAUUGCACAAUGGGCGGAAGCCUGAUGCAGCAACGCCGCGUGCGGGAUGACGGCCUUCGGGUUGUAAACCGCUUUCGCCUGUGACGAAGCGUGAGUGACGGUAAUGGGUAAAGAAGCACCGGCUAACUACGUG
rnacentral:rRNA from 1 species